UACAGAGGUGGCAAGCGUUGUUCGGAAUUACUGGGCGUAAAGGGCGCGUAGGCGGUUCGUUAAGUCCUGUGUGAAAUCCCCCGGCUCAACUGGGGAACUGCACAGGAAACUAGCGGGCUUGAGUUCGGGAGAGGGAAGCGGAAUUCCGGGUGUAGCGGUGAAAUGCGUAGAUAUCCGGAGGAACACCGGUGGCGAAGGCGGCUCCUGGACCGACACUGACGCUG
rnacentral:rRNA from 1 species